GUGGGGAGUAUUGGACAAUGGGGGCAACCCUGAUCCAGCAAUGCCGCGUGGGUGAUGAAGGCCUUCGGGUUGUAAAGCCCUUUCGGCGGGGACGAUGAUGACGGUACCCGCAGAAGAAGCCCCGGCUAACUUCGUGCCAGCAGCCGCGGUAAUACGAAGGGGGCUAGCGUUGUUCGGAAUGACUGGGCGUAAAGGGCGCGUAGGCGGCGAUUUUAGUCAGGCGUGAAAGCCCUGGGCUCAACCUAGGAACUGCGUUUGAUACUGGAUCGCUUGAGUGUGGGAGAGGAUGGUGGAAUUCCCAGUGUAGAGGUGAAAUUCGUAGAUAUUGGGAAGAACACCGGUGGCGAAGGCGGCCAUCUGGACCACUACUGACGCUGAGGCGCGAAAGCGUGGGGAGCAAACAGGAUUAGAUACCCGUGUAGUCC
rnacentral:rRNA from 1 species